rnacentral:rRNA from 1 species
AACGAACGCUGGCGGUAUGCUUAACACAUGCAAGUCGAACGGACUGAUUAAGGGCUUGCUCUUGAUUAGCUAGUGGCAAACGGGUGAGUAACGCGUGGGAAUCUACCCAUCAGUACGGAAUAACAUUUGGAAACAAAUGCUAAUACCGUAUAUUCUCGAAAGAGGAAAGAUUUAUCGCUGAUGGAUGAGCCCGCGUCAGAUUAGGUAGUUGGUGGGGUAAUGGCCUACCAAGCCGACGAUCUGUAGCUGGUCUGAGAGGACGAUCAGCCACACUGGAACUUAGACACGGUCCAGACUCCUACGGGAGGCAGCAGUGGGGAAUAUUGGACAAUGGGCGAAAGCCUGAUCCAGCAAUACCGCGUGAACGAUAAAGGCCUUAGGGUUGUAAAGUUCUUUUAGCAGGGAAGAUAAUGACGGUACCACAUGAAUAAGGACCGGCUAACUACGUGCCAGCCGCCGCGGUAA